GGGCGCAUAGCUCAGCGGUAGAGCGCUUCCCUUACAAGGAAGAUGUCACAGGUUCGAUCCCUGUUGUGCCCA
rnacentral:tRNA from 3 species